rnacentral:ncRNA from 1 species
UGCGGUAACGCAGCCGAUCCCGGAGAAGCUGGCGGGAGCCCUGGGGAGAGUUCUCUUUUCUUUGUGAAAGGCAGGGCGCCCUGGAAUGGGUUCUCCCCAAGAGAGGGGCCCAAGCCCUGGAAAGCAUUGCGGUUUCGGCGGCAUCCGGUGAGCUCUCCGUGACCUUUGAAAACCUGGGGGAGAG